UACGUAGGGGGCAAGCGUUGUCCGGAUUUAUUGGGCGUAAAGCGCUCGCAGGCGGCUCGAUGCGUCGUGCGUGAAACACCCCGGCUCAACCGGGGAAAUGCGCGUGAUACUGGCGGGCUUGAGAUCGGGAGGGGUGAAUGGAACUCCAGGUGGAGCGGUGAAAUGCGUAGAUAUCUGGAGGAACACCGGUGGCGAAAGCGGUUCACUGGCCCGACACUGACACUGAGGUGCGAAAGCUAGGGUAGCAAACGGG
rnacentral:rRNA from 1 species